rnacentral:rRNA from 1 species
GUGUCAGCCGCCGCGGUAAUACGUAGGGUGCAAGCGUUGUCCGGAAUCACUGGGUGUAAAGGGAGCGCAGGCGGGUUGGCAAGUCGUUGGUGAAAUCCUGAGGCUCAACCUCAGGCCUGCCAAUGAUACUGCUGAUCUUGAGUGCAGAAGAGGAAGACGGAAUUCCUGGUGUAGCGGUGAAAUGCGUAGAUAUCAGGAAGAACACCGGUGGCGAAGGCGGUCUUCUGGUCUGUAACUGACGCUCAUGCUCGAAAGCGUGGGGAGCAAACAGGAUUAGAUACCCUGGUAGUCCACGCCCUAAACGAUGGAUACUCGAUGUCGGGUCGUAAGGCCCGGUGUCCAAGCUAACGCGUUAAGUAUCCCACCUGGGGAGUACGAUCGCAAGGUUGAAACUCAAAGGAAUUGACGGGG